rnacentral:rRNA from 1 species
AGGACGAACGCUGGCGGCGUGCUUAAAACAUGCAAGUCGAACGGACUUCUCAUGAAGCUUGCGAUUGAGAAGUUAGUGGCGGACGGGUGAGUAACACGUGGGCAACCUGCCCCUGAGCCCGGGAUAACAGUUCGAAAGGACUGCUAAGACCGGAUAUACUUGCGGUGAAGCAUUUCACUGCAAGGAAAGGGAACGCUCAGGGAUGGGCCCGCGUCCCAUUAGCUAGUUGGUGAGGUAACGGCCCACCAAGGCGACGAUGGGUAGCCGGCCUGAGAGGGUGAACGGCCACACUGGGACUGAGACACGGCCCAGACUCCUACGGGAGGCAGCAGUUGGGAAUCUUCGGCAAUGGGCGCAAGCCUGACCGAGCAACGCCGCGUGAGUGAUGAAGGUUUUCGGAUUGUAAAGCUCUGUCUUCCGGGACGAUAAUGACGGUACCGGAGGAGGAAGCCACGGCUAACUACGUG